rnacentral:rRNA from 1 species
GACGACGCUGGCGGCGUGGAUUAGGCAUGCAAGUCGAACGGUAUCAUCCUUUCGGGGGUGAGAGAGUGGCGAACUGGUGAGUAACACGUAGUUAUCUACCCUCAAGACGGGGACAACCCAGGGAAACUUGGGCUAAUACCGGAUGUGAGCAACUUUUAGUUGUUUGAAAGGUGGCGUAAGCUGUCGCUUGGGGAUGAGCCUGCGUCCUAUUAGUUAGUUGGUGAGGUAACGGCUCACCUAGGCAAUGAUAGGUAGGCGGCCUUAACGGGUGGUCGCCCACACUGGGAUUGAGAUACGGCCCAGACUCCUACGGGAGGCAGCAGUCGAGAAUAGUCUACAAUGGUCGGAAGACUGAUAGUGCGACGCCGCGUGAACGAUGAAUCCCUUCGGGGUGUAAAGUUCUUUUAUAUGUGAGCAGUGCUUCUUAUAUUAACAGUAUGGGGAGAGAGAUAUUAGCAUAUGAAUAAGCAACGGCUAACUCCGUG